rnacentral:rRNA from 1 species
CAGCAGCCGCGGUAAUACGUAGGGUGCGAGCGUUGAUCGGAAUUACUGGGCGUAAAGCGUGCGCAGGCGGUUUUGUAAGACAGGCGUGAAAUCCCCGGGCUCAACCUGGGAAUGGCGCUUGUGACUGCAAAGCUAGAGUGCGGCAGAGGGGGAUGGAAUUCCGCGUGUAGCAGUGAAAUGCGUAGAUAUGCGGAGGAACACCGAUGGCGAAGGCAAUCCCCUGGGCCUGCACUGACGCUCAUGCACGAAAGCGUGGGGAGCAAACAGGAUUAGAUACCCCCGUAGUCCCUGUCUCUUAUAC